GACGAACGCUGGCGGCGUGCUUAACACAUGCAAGUCGAACGCUGAAGCUUGGUGCUUGCACUGGGUGGAUGAGUGGCGAACGGGUGAGUAAUACGUGAGUAACCUGCCCUUGACUCUGGGAUAAUCCUGGGAAACUGGGUCUAAUACUGGAUAUGACAUGCCACUGCAUGGUGGUGUGUGGAAAGGGUUUUACUGGUUUUGGAUGGGCUCACGGCCUAUCAGCUUGUUGGUGGGGUAAUGGCCUACCAAGGCGACGACGGGUAGCCGGCCUGAGAGGGUGACCGGCCACACUGGGACUGAGACACGGCCCAGACUCCUACGGGAGGCAGCAGUGGGGAAUAUUGCACAAUGGGCGGAAGCCUGAUGCAGCGACGCCGCGUGAGGGAUGACGGCCCUCGGGUUGUAAACCUCUUUCAGCACGGAAGAAGCGAGAGUGACGGUACGUGCAGAAGAAGCGCCGGCUAACUACGUG
rnacentral:rRNA from 1 species